UACGUAGGGUGCAAGCGUUAAUCGGAAUUACUGGGCGUAAAGCGCGUGUAGGCUGCGACGUAAGUCAGGUGUGAAAGCCCUCAGCUUAACUGAGGAAGUGCACUUGAUACUGCGUCGCUUGAGUGUCGGAGGGGGUGGCGGAAUUCCCGGUGUAGAGGUGAAAUUCGUAGAUAUCGGGAGGAACACCUGUGGCGAAGGCGGCCGACCUGGACGACAACUGACGUGAGCACGCGAAAGCGUGGGGAGCGAACAG
rnacentral:rRNA from 1 species